UACGUAGGCAGCGAGCGUUGUUCGGAGUUACUGGGCGUGAAGAGUGCGUAGGCGGUUGGCUAAGUUUGGUGUGAAAUCUCCCGGCUCAACUGGGAGGGUGCGCCGAAAACUGGCUGGCUGGAGUGUGGGAGAGGCUAGCGGAAUUCCUGGUGUAGCGGUGAAAUGCGUAGAUAUCAGGAGGAACACCUGCGGUGUAGACGGCUGGCUGGACCACUACUGACGCUGAGGCACGAAAGCGUGGGGAGCAAACAGG
rnacentral:rRNA from 1 species